rnacentral:lncRNA from 1 species
UAAACGAUUGGUUGAUUGAUUAAUGGACUGGUUGAGUAAAAGAUGAUCGCAUUUAAAAACCGUAUAAAGUUUAUAAAUUAAGAUAAUAAAAUUAGGAGAAAAAUAAGAAAAGAAGUGGAAAGCAGAAAGUGUGAAGUGAAAGAGCUGUGAGAUUGUGACCAGGUUACUGAAGGAGAACGAGAGAGCACAAAAUGAAGAUGCGCAUCAGUUUAAUUAAACAUUGCUAGAACAUAGGGCAAGGUCUAGAAAGUGCAUGAUAAUGACAUAAGGUGUUGCCAUGUUGUUUCUGUCUUGUUUCUCGAUGCUCAUGGGCAGUGGCGGACAUCCCGCAAUAUAACACAGACGAAGCCUACCUGUCGUCAUACCGUGCGUACCAGGGCCCCCAGGAUGGCGCCAACGGCUUUCCUCUCAGCUCUCUGUCUGCGAGCAGAGACAGUGACAGUCCUUUCAUACAAGAGCGCCCCAGCAGUUAUGGCGCCUUGGCCUGCAUCUCAACCUUUCUGUGCUUCUGUCCUGUGGGUCUGGCUGCUCUCUUCUACUCCUGCAGGGCGAGAUUUGCAAAAGACGAAGGGAAUUUCGCAGAAGCGCGCACACUGGGGAGGAAUGCACGAGACAUCGCCGUCGCCAGCCUCAUUCUUGGCAUCUUCCUCAUCCUUGUCGCCGUUCUCAUCGUCGUCCUCCUCUGGCAGACAGUCGGCUUCAAGUAGGCGAGCAGUGGACAGGUCACGUGUGACAGAGACAAAGUCGUGACCACUGUCGGAAGGCUUGAAGAUAGUUUUAAUGCAAGGGUCAAUCCCGACAUUCCCAACUUUAGAAUACGGUUGUAGCUGUAGUUGAUAUACCCUUGAAUCGAUAACGACUUUAUAUAAGACGCUGAGGAUUAUACGUGCAUCAUGUUGGACUGGAAAAAAACCACAUUCACGCACUUUAGUUCUGUGAUGGUCUGGGCAUAAUCUUGACAUAUGAGUUAAAUUGAGAAAGUCAGGAGAAGGGAAGAGAGAUGCACAAGACAUUAGAUUACAGCAGCAGAGGGACUGGAUGUCUUGUCCGUGGCUUGGACAAUGUUUGAGACAGGAUAAUCGAGUACGACGGAGGGAGGGGUGAGCACUCGAUGGAGACAAGUGAAUCGGCAGUCUAGACUCUGGAGCGACUACAUACGGGUGGCCAUACUCCUAGGGUGGGCCUCUCAAGCUGCGCGAGACGCAAAGAGUAGUUGAACGGUGUGCACAUUUCUGGGCCAUUUACUUCUUAUAUUCAUACAAUAGUUUAUAAUAUAUUAAUAUAAAAUUAUGUGUUGCCGUCUGCUGCACGGCUGGAUCUAGUGCUGUCAUCAGAAGUAAACUUUUUUACGGACAGCGCAUGGGGCCCGGAUAAGGCCGAUCUUCAUGGUGUGAGGAACACUGGUUAGAAUGUUUGCCUACAUUUGAAUUUCUGACUUCAUGCAAAAUGCAUGAGUGAGAAAGAAUGAGAGAGAGGGAGGACAGUGCAUAAGUACUAAAUUUAAAAUCAUUUGUUGCCUUUUACUGUUUUUAGAUAAGGGAUUUAAACCUUUUA